GACGAACGCUGGCGGCGUGCUUAACACAUGCAAGUCGAACGGAAAGGCCCUGCUUUUGUGGGGUGCUCGAGUGGCGAACGGGUGAGUAACACGUGAGUAACCUGCCCUUGACUUUGGGAUAACUUCAGGAAACUGGGGCUAAUACCGGAUAGGAGCUCCUGCUGCAUGGUGGGGGUUGGAAAGUUUCGGCGGUUGGGGAUGGACUCGCGGCUUAUCAGCUUGUUGGUGGGGUAGUGGCUUACCAAGGCUUUGACGGGUAGCCGGCCUGAGAGGGUGACCGGCCACAUUGGGCCUGCGAUACGGCCCAGACUCCUACGUGGGGCGGCAGUGGGGAAUAUUGCACAAUGGGCGGAAGCCUGAUGCAGCAACGCCGCGUGCGGGAUGACGGCCUUCGGGUUGUAAACCGCUUUCGCCUGUGACGAAGCGUGAGUGACGGUAAUGGGUAAAGAAGCACCGGCUAACUACGUG
rnacentral:rRNA from 1 species